rnacentral:rRNA from 1 species
GACGAACGCUGGCGGCGUGCUUAACACAUGCAAGUCGAACGAUGAUGCUGGAGCUUGCUCCAGUUGAUUAGUGGCGAACGGGUGAGUAACACGUGAGCAAUCUGCCCUUGACUCUGGGAUAACUGCGGGAAACUGUAGCUAAUACCGGAUACUUUCACUGGAAGGCAUCUUCUGGUGAAAAAAGAAUUUCGGUCAAGGAUGAGCUCGCGGCCUAUCAGCUUGUUGGUGAGGUAACGGCUCACCAAGGCGACGACGGGUAGCCGGCCUGAGAGGGUGACCGGCCACACUGGGACUGAGACACGGCCCAGACUCCUACGGGAGGCAGCAGUGGGGAAUAUUGCACAAUGGGCGCAAGCCUGAUGCAGCAACGCCGCGUGAGGGAUGAAGGCCUUCGGGUUGUAAACCUCUUUUAGCAGGGAAGAAGCGAAAGUGACGGUACCUGCAGAAAAAGCACCGGCUAACUACGUGCCAGCAGCCGCGGUAA